GAUGAACGCUGGCGGCGUGCUUAACACAUGCAAGUCGAACGGAAAGGCCCAAGCUUGCUUGGGUACUCGAGUGGCGAACGGGUGAGUAACACGUGGGUGAUCUGCCCUGCACUUCGGGAUAAGCCUGGGAAACUGGGUCUAAUACCGGAUAGGACGAUGGUUUGGAUGCCAUUGUGGAAAGUUUUUUCGGUGUGGGAUGAGCUCGCGGCCUAUCAGCUUGUUGGUGGGGUAAUGGCCUACCAAGGCGUCGACGGGUAGCCGGCCUGAGAGGGUGUACGGCCACAUUGGGACUUAGAUACGGCCCAGACUCCUACGGGAGGCAGCAGUGGGGAAUAUUGCACAAUGGGCGCAAGCCUGAUGCAGCGACGCCGCGUGGGGGAUGACGGCCUUCGGGUUGUAAACUCCUUUCGCUAGGGACGAAGCGUUUUUGUGACGGUACCUGGAGAAGAAGCACCGGCUAACUACGUG
rnacentral:rRNA from 1 species